rnacentral:lncRNA from 1 species
AAUCGUAGAACCAUUUUGUUCUGUUGUCUAACUUUGUCCACUGUUUAUGUUGCUCUUCCUAUUGUGGAUCUAUAUUAAAGUACAUGGUAAUUGCAGUCUGCGUUCUUGUUCAAACUAAAUAAAAUAUAAUUGCAAAAUAUCUUGGUGCGCAUUCACGCAAUUAUUCGCGCAAUUAAAUGAUAUAUUUAUUGUUCAUAUAACCAACUGCCGCGUACUACACUAAUUAUCGUAUGUUUAUUGCGUUAUUUACAGGGUGCGCAAAUAUAAAUUGCUGGAUGAUAUACUGUAUAUUCUACACAGAAUGCAUGUAAGUAAAUCGGCCUCGUUUGGCGCUCUUUCAACUUGCAUCAGUGGAAAUUUGUUUCACGCCUUUAUCACUGGUACAUAAUUUAAUACUUGUAGUAGCUAGUGUACAUCAAAGCUUGCGUCAAACACGUUACGAAAUCUUUCUCGUAUUCAACAAGCAAACGUGGUCGUUGUGCAAAGGCCUCUUUGUGUAAUAUGUACAGUAUUGUCUGGGUAUCGAAGGAAUUUGAGCUUGCCUUUUAGUUUAGGUAUGCCAAAUAUGUUGCGUGCUUGCCUGAAGGUCAUGGUCACACUAAAAAACGUACAUGUUGCUUGCUAUAUUUUGCAAUAAUUUUAUACAUGUACUAUCUAUGCAGAAAGCGGCUUUAUACAGUACUUCCUUUAUAUCGAUUAUUAACGAUUCAGCCAGAUGUAGAAAUAGGCUCGAUUAAACUAAAAAAAUCGUAAGUCAACAAUAUGUCAAUAUACAGUACUUCAACAGAAUUCGUUGAUUGCAUGUCAUACCAAGUAAAUUUUGUUUAUAUUGUAUUCGGUUGCAUGUGCGCAUUUUGGGUUCAAGCAAGCAAGCAUUCUAGCAUAAUUGUCACCGCGAGUCUGCGACCUUACAAAUUAAUUAAAGAUUAUAGAUUCAAAUCAUUCAAUACCUUCGCUUCAAAGCAUAUGUCCCCUGGAUUUUCUAUAGCUAGUGGACAAAUUCCCCUCUGGAAAGUGACUCAUAACAAAUUUCAUUCUCUAUCUGCCCCAAACUCAUUAAAGUUCAACUAUAGCUAAAAAUACAAUAUCAUUUCAGGAAUGAUGAAAGUUUUCCCAAGACAAACACAGAGAGACAAACAUAUUAAAUGAGGAAAAGAGUCCCAAAAAUAAAAAAUCUGCUGUUUAUAUAAGGUAUAUGUUUUAAGUUUAUCAUUUACUGUCUGCAAAUAAAUUAAUAUUAAUAAAAUUAAUCCAGGAAUAUUUAUCAUUUACUGUCUGCAAAUAAAAAAUAUGAAUAAAAUUAAUCCAGGGAUAUUAAUAAUAAUUAAUUAAGUGAUUUCCUAAAAACCCAACAUUCAUGAUCAGUCCAAAAGAUCAACUCUGGAACUGCCCACAUAUGGGAAAGAGUUUAAAAUCAGACAUUCACUUUAAGUAUCUACAGUAUAGUAUAGCUUAGAACCCCCGGGAGUUAGAGGAAUUUUUAUAAUAGUAUAUAAUAAGAAUUAAUAAAAUUAACAUAAAAUAGAUAAUAUUUUUCAAUUUUAAACCUUUUUGCUAAGUGUUAUCUUUCUCUGUUCUCUACGACCAUACUAAUCGGCAUGGAUUUUGAUGCUGUAUAAUAACAGUUGAAGUGAAAGAUGAUGAUAAUAUAUAGGAUUUUGAAAUGACUGUAUACAUGCUGAAGUUUUGAGUUGGCACGACUUGAAACAGAACGUGAGGCGGCACGCCUUGCGAAGUAUAGAGAAAUUUUAGCAAUCUUAUAUAUUAAAUAUGCAUGUAUGUUGACUGGCAUACAUCAAGUUUUGUUGCCAUGCUGAAUUUUUGGGUUGGCACGACCUGAAACAGAGCGUGAGGCGGCACGCCUUGCGAAGGUGACAAUCCUUGUUAUGUGUCGAUACAUCAACAAAAAUGCAUGAUUUCGAGAUAGUUCAACAGAAAUACCAUUCAAAAACGCUUUAGAUGUAUUAAAGUUUUUCGACACGUUGGAGAGAACUGUGAGAAAUAUACCACUUAUCCGGAAUUAUAACCAUUAUACAGAUUGUUGUAGAUUAUAGUAUAUAACUAUUAAAGAUUGAUCCCCAUGUAUAUACAGUAUAUGGAAAAAAGUGUGGAUUAAUUAAAUGAGGAAAAGAGUCCAAAAAUAUAAAUCUGGUGUUUAGACAAGGUUAUAUAUUUUAAGUUUAUCAUUUACUGUCUGCAAAUAAAAAAAAUAUUAAUAAAAUUAAUCCAGGGAUAUUAAUAAUAAUUAAUUAAGUGAUUUCCUAAAAACCCAACAUUCAUGAAGUCCAAAAGAUCAACUCUGGAACUGCCCACAUAUGGGAAAAAGUUUAAAAUCAGACGUUCACUUUAAGUAUCUACAGUAUAGUAUAGCUUAGAACCCCCGGGAGUUAGAGGAAUUUUUAUAAUAGUAUAUAAUAAGAAUUAAUAAAAUUAACAUAAAAUAGAUAAUAUUUUUCAAUUAUAAACCGUUUUGCUAAGUGUUAUCUUUCUCUGUUCUCUACGACCAUACUAAUCGGCAUGGAUUUUGAUGCUGUAUAAUAACAGUUGAAGUGAAAGAUGAUGAUAAUAUAUAGGAUUUUGAAAUGACUGUAUACCUGCUGAAGUUUUGAGUUGGCACGACUUGAAACAGAACGUGAGGUGGCACGCCUUGCGAAGUAUAGAGAAAUUUUAUCAAUCUUAUAUAUUAAAUAUGCAUGUAUGUUGACUGGCGUACAUCAAGUUUUGUUGCCAUGCUGAAUUUUUGGGUUGGCACGACCUGAAACAGAGCGUGAGGCGGCACGCCUUGCGAAGGUGACAAUCCUUGUUAUGUGUCAAUACGUCAACAAAAAUGCAUGAUUUCGAGAUAGUUCAACAGAAAUAUCAUUCAAAAACCCUUUAGAUGUAUUAAAGUUUUUCAACACGUUGGAGAGAACUGUGAGAAAUAUACCACUUAUCCGGAAUUAUAACCAUUAUACAGAUUGUUGUAGAUUAUAAUAUAUAACUAUUAAAGAUUGAUCCCCAUGUAUAUAUAUGGAAAAAAGUGUGGAUUAAUUAAAUGAGGAAAAGAGUCCAAAAAUAUAAAUCUGGCGUUUAGACAAGGUUAUAUAUUUUAAGUUUAUCAUUUACUGUCUGCAAAUAAAAAAAAAUAUUAAUAAAAUUAAUCCAGGGAUAUUAAUAAUAAUUAAUUAAGUGAUUUCCUAAAAAACCAACAUUCAUGAAGUCCAAAAGAUCAACUCUGGAACUGCCCACAUAUGGGAAAGAGUUUAAAAUCAGACAUUCACUUUAAGUAUCUACAGUAUAGUAUAGCUUAGAACCCCCGGGAGUUAGAGGAAUUUUUAUAAUAGUAUAUAAUAAGAAUUAAUAAAAUUAACAUAAAAUAGAUAAUAUUUUUCAAUUUUAAACCUUUUUGCUUAGUGUUAUCUUUCUCUGUUCUCUACGACCAUACUAAUCGGCAUGGAUUUUGAUGCUGUAUAAUAACAGUUGAAGUGAAAGAUGAUGAUAAUAUAUAGGAUUUUGAAAUGACUGUAUACAUGCUGAAGUUUUGAGUUGGCACGACUUGAAACAGGGCGUGAGGCGGCACGCCUUGCGAAGGUGACAAUCCUUGUUAUGUGUCAAUACGUCAACAAAAAUGCAUGAUUUCGAGAUAGUUCAACAGAAAUACCAUUCCAAAACCCUUUAGAUGUAUUAAAGUUUUUCAACACGUUGGAGAGAACUGUGAGAAAUAUACCACUUAUCCGGAAUUAUAACCAUUAUACAGAUUGUUGUAGAUUAUAGUAUAUAACUAUUAAAGAUUGAUCCCCAUACAAUGGAAAAAGUGUGGAUUAAAUAAAUGCAAACCGCUCACAGUCUGAUGAAUCCCCCCCCCCCAAUGCAUACGCGCAUUAUUAUCAUGACAUGAAUAUAUUUUUAUCUUAUGUAUACAUGCAGUUUGGGAAACAGUAUAUACAACUGCUUCAAGCAGCUGAAGGAUGGGGUUAUUGAAUAUCCAACAGUAAGUAUAUAACUAGUGCUUUAAUUACACGCCCCAAAUCUCGGUAAAGCAAGAAUUUACAGCUAUAGGUUUUGUUAUUUGGUGUUAUAACGUUUUUACGCGUGAAUUUUGCACGAGGGUUUUGUCUUCUUAAAUGUUUCGUUUUAUAUGCAUGAACAUUGCCAAAACGAUAUUCAUUUGAAUAGCAGUGCGCCGUUCACAAAUUCCUAAAGAUCACAAAACCAAAGCAUGGAUACAAAAUUCUUCAAAAUUUAGAAUUAUAAGAGUACAUUCGUGCAGGAAAAUAAAAAUUUUACCCUCUGCCAUUUAUAGGAAUAUUGGAAUUGCAAACUUUGGUCAUGCAGAUUCUCAUUUUGGUCCCUAUCCAGAUUGAUGAUUGAGAAAGACCCUUCCAGUAUAUAUACUUAAAAUCCAGGAGCAUGAAGAAUAUCUAUACAGCAUGUCAUAUAGAACAUGCAUGCAUUGUGCUUUCCCCGUGAUUAAGCCUAUAAUUUUAACUUGUAUACUGUAUAUAUGUAAC